AACCCUCUCAGGUACCUUUCUAGGUUGUGGUGGCUUUGUUCUUUUGCUCUUUGCAAUAAAUCUUAAUGUUGCUCGCUCUUUGGGUCUGUGCCGCCUUUAUGAGCUGUAACCCUCACAAUGAAGGUCUACAGCUUCACUCCUGAAGCCAGCGAGACCAUGAACCCACGGGGAGGGUCGAACAACUCUGGAUGGGAGGAAUGAAUAACUGUGGACACCACCUUUAUGAACUGUAACAUUCCCCUGGAAGGUCUGCAGUUUCAGUCCUGAGGCCAGCGGGACCAGGAACUCACCGGAAGGAACGAACAACUCCAGAUGUGCCACCUUUAAGAGCUGUAACACUCACCGUUAAGGCCUGCAGCUUCACUCCUGAAGUCAGCGAGACCAUGAGCCCACCAGAAAGAAGAAACCC
rnacentral:lncRNA from 1 species